ACGCUGGCGGCGUGCUUAACACAUGCAAGUCGAACGAUGAAGCCUAGCUUGCUAGGUGGAUUAGUGGCGAACGGGUGAGUAAUACGUGAGUGACCUACCUUUGACUCUGGGAUAAGCCUGGGAAACUGGGUCUAAUACCGGAUACGACCAAUCUCCGCAUGGGGUGUUGGUGGAAAGCGUUAUGGAGUGGUUUUAGAUGGGCUCACGGCCUAUCAGCUUGUUGGUGAGGUAAUGGCUUACCAAGGCGACGACGGGUAGCCGGCCUGAGAGGGUGACCGGCCACACUGGGACUGAGACACGGCCCAGACUCCUACGGGAGGCAGCAGUGGGGAAUAUUGCACAGUGGGCGCAAGCCUGAUGCAGCGACGCCGCGUGAGGGAUGACGGCCUUCGGGUUGUAAACCUCUGUUAGCAUCGAAGAAGCGAAAGUGACGGUAGGUGCAGAGAAAGCGCCGGCUAACUACGUGCCAGCAGCCGCGGUAAUACGUAGGGCGCGAGCGUUGUCCGGAAUUAUUGGGCGUAAAGAGCUUGUAGGCGGUUGGUCGCGUCUGCUGUGAAAGGCUGGGGCUUAACCCUGGUUUUGCAGUGGGUGCGGGCUAACUAGAGUGCAGUAGGGGAGACUGGAAUUCCUGGUGUAGCGGUGGAAUGCGCAGAUAUCAGGAGGAACACCGAUGGCGAAGGCAGGUCUCUGGGCUGUAACUGACGCUGAGAAGCGAAAGCAUGGGGAGCGAACAGGAUUAGAUACCCUGGUAGUCCAUGCCGUAAACGUUGGGCACUAGGUGUGGGGGACAUUCCACGUUUUCCGCGCCGUAGCUAACGCAUUAAGUGCCCCGCCUGGGGAGUACGGCCGCAAGGCUAAAACUCAAAGAAAUUGACGGGGGCCCGCACAAGCGGCGGAGCAUGCGGAUUAAUUCGAUGCAACGCGAAGAA
rnacentral:rRNA from 1 species